GCUGCAGUUAACGCAAUAAGUUCUCCGCCUGGGGAGUAUGCACGCAAGUGUGAAACUCAAAGGAAUUGACGGGGGCCCGCACAAGCGGUGGAGUAUGUGGUUUAAUUCGAAGCAACGCGGAGAACCUUACCAGGCCUUGACAUGGAUAUAAAUGUUCUAGAGAUAGAAAGAUAGCUAUAUAUCACACAGGUGGUGCAUGGUUGUCGUCAGCUCGUGUCGUGAGAUGUUGGGUUAAGUCCCGCAACGAGCGCAACCCUUGUCUUCUGUUACCAGCAUUAGGUUGGGGACUCAGGAGAGACUGCCGGUGACAAACCGGAGGAAGGUGGGGAUGACGUCAAAUCAUCAUGCCCCUUAUGGCCUGGGCUACACACGUACUACAAUGGCGCCUACAAAGAGCAGCGACACCGCGAGGUGGAGCGAAUCUCAUAAAGGGCGUCUCAGUUCGGAUUGAAGUCUGCAACUCGACUUCAUGAAGUCGGAAUCGCUAGUAAUCGCAGAUCAGCAUGCUGCGGUGAAUACGUUCUCGGGCCUUGUACUCACCGCCCGUC
rnacentral:rRNA from 1 species